AGGGUGCGUAACACGUGGGUAAUCUGCCGCGAAGUCCGGGAUAACUUGCUGAAAGGCGAGCUAAUACCAGAUGUGACUGUCGGGAGGCAUCUCCUGGCAUUCAAAGUUGGGGACCGUAAGGCCUGACACUUCACGAUGAGCCCGCGGCCUAUCAGCUAGUUGGUGAGGUAACGGCCCACCAAGGCUAAGACGGGUAGCUGGUCUGAGAGGACGACCAGCCGCACUGGAACUGAGACACGGUCCAGACACCUACGGGUGGCAGCAGUCGAGAAUUUUUCUCAAUGGGCGAAAGCCUGAAGGAGCGACGCCGCGUGGGGGAUGAAGGGCUUCGGCCUGUAAACCCCUGUCAUUUGCGAUCAAGGCGACCGACCUAAUACGUCGGGCGUUGAUAGUAGCGAAGAGUAAGGGACGGCUAACUCUGUGCCAGCAGCCGCGGUAAUACAGAGGUCCCAAGCGCUGUUCGGAUUUACUGGGCGUAAAGGGUGCGUAGGUGGCAAGGUAAGUUCGGUGUGAAAUCUCCAGGCUUAACCUGGAAACUGCACUGGAUACUAUCUAGCUCGAGGAUCGUAGGGGAGACUGGAAUUCUCGGUGUAGCAGUGAAAUGCGUAGAUAUCGAGAGGAACACCAUUGGCGAAAGCGAGUCUCUGGACGAUCCCUGACACUGAGGCACGAAAGCUAGGGGAGCAAACAGGAUUAGAUACCCUAGUAGUCCUAGCCCUAAACGGUGCAUGUUUGCUGUGGGAGGAAUCGACCCCUUCCGUGGCGAAGCUAACGCGUUAAACAUGCCGCCUGGGGAGUACGGCCGCAAGGUUAAAACUCAAAGAAAUUGACGGGGGCCUGCACAAGCGGUGGAGUAUGUGGCUUAAUUCGAUUCAACGCGAAGAACCUUACCUGGCCUUGACAUGUAGGUGGUAGAAGCCUGAAAGGGCAACGACCCCGCAAGGGGAGCUUACACAGGUGCUGCAUGGCUGUCGUCAGCUCGUGUCGUGAGAUGUUGGGUUAAGUCCCGCAACGAGCGCAACCCUCGUGUCCUGUUGCGACCCGGAUGAGAAUUCGGAGCACUCUGGACAGACUGCCACAUUUUCAUGUGGAGGAAGGUGGGGAUGACGUCAAGUCAGGAUGGCCCUUACGGCCAGGGCUGCACACGUACUACAAUGCCCGGUACAAAGAGAAGCAAGACCGCAAGGUGGAGCUAAUCUCGCAAAACCGGGCCCAGUUCAGAUUGUCGGCUGCAACUCGCCGACAUGAAGCUGGAAUCGCUAGUAAUGGCGCAUCAGCUACGGCGCCGUGAAUACGUUCCCAGGCCUUGUACACACCGCCCGUCACAUCAUGAAAGCCGGUUGUACCCGAAGUCAGCGCGUUAACCGCAAGGAGACAGCUGCCGAAGGUAUGGCUGGUGAUUGGGAUGAAGUAGUAACAAGGUA
rnacentral:rRNA from 1 species